UACGAAGGGGGCGAGCGUUGUUCGGAAUUACUGGGCGUAAAGCGCACGUAGGCGGCCCGCCAAGCCAGGGGUGAAAUCCUGGAGCUCAACUCCAGAACUGCCCUUGAUACUGGCGGCCUUGAGUCCGGGAGAGGUGAGUGGAACUGCGAGUGUAGAGGUGAAAUUCGUAGAUAUUCGCAAGAACACCAGUGGCGAAGGCGGCUCACUGGCCCGGUACUGACGCUGAGGUGCGAAAGCGUGGGGAGCAAACAGG
rnacentral:rRNA from 1 species